rnacentral:lncRNA from 1 species
GACAACGAAAGAUUUUUGUAGCCUAAAUGACAUGUAAUAUAAAGGUGUUUAAACAUUCUGAUCAACUUGAAAAAAAUUUAAUUCUUCAUGUUGGGUUUUGACUCUUGUUGAUUUUGACCAACAUUGAUGUAAAUCACCAUCUAGUUACGAUUUUAGUGAAAAUGUGGAGAAUAGAAUCAUAGUCACCUUAAAAGAUGUGACAAUGCAACUUGGCAUCCCCAUUGAUGGGAACCCUGUGACUGGUCUUAGUAGUGAUGAUUUGGUAUCAAUAUGUCACAAAUUAUUAGGAUUUGUGCCACCUGAAACAAUAGUUUAAAGGAACACAAUAAAGAUAUCUUGACUUGGGUUGGAAUACCCCUUAAGUAUCUCUGUUAUUUAAUUUAUUCAUUGCUGAUAAAAAAAAGAUAUCUUAGCUUAAUAACUCUUUUCAAGAAAUUCUGGAUGAUGCAACCGAUGUUAUUAUAUAUAGUGCAACAUGUCCGAGCACAUAUCUUGACAUUAAUUGAAAGUCUAUUAAUGACAAACACAUCAACCAAUCAGAUGCAUAUGAUGUAUCUCUUCUUACCAAGUGACUUGAAUAAUGUGUUCAAUUUUAAUUGAGGGUCAGCCAUGUUAGUUUAUCUGUAUUGUGCAUUGGAUCAUUGUACUGAUUAUAAUUAGGACAAUAUUAGAUGGUGCAUCAUAGUUCUACAAUAUCAAAACAUGCAUUUAUUCUAGAAUUGAAAUAUUGAUUGUUAAUUAAGGAAAGAAUUUUUUCCACUUAAGAGGUUAUAAUAUUUUUUUUUGGUCAAUUUUUAGUAAUAAAAAGACCGUAUUAGUUAUGACAAUCGUAAUGUUUAAAAAUAAAAUGUUGAAAAAGAUACAUAAAGUAAAAAGAGUAAUGCUAUAAAUACAAGAUAACUAAUAAAGGUGCUAAAAACAUUUAGAACAAUAUAGUUUAAAAAACUAACUUACCUAAGAAAAAAAAUAACUUUCCUAAGAAAAUAAUUGUUUAAAUAAAUUCAAAAAAUGUAUAGCAUGACAACAUAAGUGGGUGUACAUUAGCAAGUCCUAAUAUAUGUUAAAAAUACAUCAGGAUUUAACAUGAUAACAUCAGUGGAUGUAGAUUAGGGAAUAUAUAUAUAUAUAUAUGUGGUAACUUACACCCACUUAAUUUUUAAAAUGAAUAAAUUAGCAAACCACACCUUGAAUAUAUUUUAAGAAAAAUUAUAGUUUGUUAACUUAUUUAUUCUAAAAAUGAAGUGGAGUAAGCUAACAAACAUGUAUUUACUAACGUACAUUCACUUGUUUUUCUAGUAUUAAAUUAAAAAUUUGCAUACUUAGGGUAGUCAAAGAAAUUUGUGGUCUAAUAUAUUAACUUACUCCUAAAUAUAGUGGGUGUAAAAAGCUGUAAGCACAUCAAAUAUGUAGAACAUAGCAACACUCAUUAUCACAAGCCCAGAGAUGACAGGGGCAAAGCACAACACUAAUGUAUGAUAUUGAGGAUCAUAACAGUAGAAGGAACAACGAGAUAUAGAUGAUUUAACAGUGGAAAUUGUUGAGAAGAUAUCAACUGUUGAGAAGAUAUCAACGGUAAUUAAAUAGCUUACUGUACAAUUUUUCAUUCUCUGAAAGUUAUAGCUCGGCUGGUCAAAGCAGCACUAAUAAUAACACUAGCCAGGUUCUGUUAUACCAAUAUCAGAUGCACUACGAACUGCACAGUAGCAUCAACAAAAACACAUGGUCAAUUAAGAGUAUACAAAAACUAUCAAUAUAAUGAAUACUAAAAUUCAAAGUCAUGGAAGUGCUUUUAAGGAUCUCAGUACAGCUUGGCAGUACCUGAACCACAUAAUAACACAAAGUAUAAUAAUGUACAAAUAAUAUUCUACCAACUUACUUCAUCUAAUCUAAAACCUUCCCCACUUCAGCUAGCAUGUAUGCAUAAAUAAGCUCAUAUGGCUGAAAUGAAAGCAAAAUAAACUGAGAGUGUCCAAUGCAUCUCACAAAGCAAUUGUUGUCACAUUUAACAUAAUAUUAAGUACAGUGGUAAUUCAUGAUCAAUAUAAAAUAUUUUAUAUAAACUCUCAAUUAUAAUUCAUCAAUAUAAAAUCUCGUAUACAUUACAUUGCCAAUUAGAAUUAGUCAUUAAUAGGCCUUUUAAGUUAAUUAUUGUAAAAAUCAUCAAAUUUACCAUAUGUGGUAGUAGUUUGUGAUCGAAUACACUAUCAGUGCAUUGACUAUUUUCUCACUUUUAUUAGAGAAGAAGAGAUGUUAAGGCAAAUGUAAUUUAGAGACAGAACAUUUCAAUUUCAAAAUCUUACAGAACACACAGUUUGUAAUGUCACAUUCCUACUUUGAUAAACCUAGGAUUGAAGAAGUGAUAUAAACUACAUGCCAUGUUUUAAACAUGUCUAUGCAAUCCUGCUAAGCUUUUAAUGGAAGAUCCAAGUUUGAACAUAGAAUCCUAGAAAAUCUUGGGAACCAGAAAAGUACAAUAGAGAGAGAGGAAGGGAUAGCAAAUAUACAGUGCAGACCGAACAGUAGAACCAUCAAGAUCCAAUCAAGAAGCUGAUCUUGCCUUCUAACAAAACUCUUUGAAGUUUAUAAAACCAAAAGAGAGUAAAGAAAAAAAAAGGAAGAGUUUAUAAAAUCUUGAAAAAGAAUGAAAACUGAAAAAAGAUAUACUCCUAAGGUAUCUACAGAUUUCGAGUUUCUUUCAAUUUAAUUCAGGGAAAGAGUAAUAACAUAGACCGACCUAGAAAACACAGAUACUUAAAACAGAGCUAUACCUUAUCAGUUGUGAAACCAUUACAAUCAGUUGUCUGUCAUUUUCUCCACCUUCGUUGGCCUCUCACUCGCCGGAGUAACGUGAUCCUUUGUUUCUCACUCGCCGGAAAGACAUCAGAUGAGAUGAGAGGGAGGAAAAC